GCUAAAACCUUAGCCCACUUGAACACCCAAACUUAAUCCACCCACCUAAAAUAUUCUGACAAGCAAGUAGAGAUGAUCAAAAACUUAUUAGAGCAAUUCUUACCGCAAGGGAACAGUGAAAUAACAAUGAAAACCCUUAAGCGCAAAACAGUAGAGAUUGACCCUCGUACCUUUCGCAUCAUGGUUUAGCUAGUCUACUCAAGCAAAAAGAAUUUAAGUUUUCCCCCCCGAAACCAGGUGAGCUACCUGGGGGCAGCUUACUGAGCACACCCUUCUCUGUCGCAAAAGAGUGGGAAGACCCCUUGGUAGAGGUGACAUACCUAACGAACCUGGCGAUAGCUGGUUACUUAAGAAAAGAAUUUUAGUUCAACCUAGAGCUUCCCAAGCCCCUCCAAGCAACCCCCAAGCUUUAGAGCAACUCAAAUAAGGUACAGCUUAUUUGAACAAGGACACAACCUAAUCUAACGGGUAACUAAUCUAAAAUAGCCCAGUUGGCCUAAAAGCAGCCACCAUUUAAAAGCGUCAAAGCCUAACACAGCCCCAAACACCAAUCCCCCCGCCCAUCCCGAACCCUUAACCAAUAUUAAGUACUUCUAUGCCCCCAUAGAAAUUUUUAUGUUAAAACUAGUAAUGUGAAACACCUUCUCCUAAUGUAAGCAUAAAUCAGACAGAAACCCGCACUGAUAAUUAACAACCCAAAGUAGCAACCCCACAAGAAAACCCUGCCUCAACCCCCGUUAAUCUAACACAAGAACAUUACAAGAAAGAUCAAAAGAAAGAGAAGGAACUCGGCAAAUAAUGAUCUCGCCUGUUUACCAAAAACAUCGCCUCUUGCACCUCAUAAGAGGUCCAGCCUGCCCAGUGACUCUGUUCAACGGCCGCGGUAUCCUGACCGCGCGAAGGUAGCGUAAUCACUUGUUUUUUAAAUGAAGACUAGUAUGAAAGGCACCACGAAAAUCAAACUGUCUCCUCUUUCCCAUCAAUGAAACUAAUCUCCCCGUGAAGAAGCGGGGAUCUCUCUAUAAGACGAGAAGACCCUAUGGAGCUUCAAACUAAAUUAGCACUUUGCCACACUUUCACCCCGAAAUACCCACGCAUUCGUUCUAUGAGUUUUAGGUUGGGGCGACCGCGGAGAAUAAACCACCCUCCACGCUGACAAGAACCACUUCUUAAUGAAAAACCACAACUUUUCAAAUCAACAUAUUGACAUCUAUUGACCCACACUCUGAUCAACGGACCAAGUUACCCUAGGGAUAACAGCGCAAUCUACUUCAAGAGCUCAUAUCGACAGGUAGGCUUACGACCUCGAUGUUGGAUCAGGAAAUCCUAGUGGUGCAGCAGCUACUAAAGGUUCG
rnacentral:rRNA from 1 species